rnacentral:lncRNA from 1 species
AUGGCAUUCUUCUUGAACAAAUCCACCCUAGCUUCUCAUUUUCGAUCCUCAUCUCAGAAGAUCGAAGAUCCCGUUUCUCUCUCGCGCCGUCAGUUCCAUGUUGAACCCGGAACUCGUGAAAAAGCUCUCUUGGCAGAAGAUUCAGCUCUCAAGCCAUUCAAAUCAUAUAAGCAGAGUGUAAAAAAGCUCAGGAAAAUUGGGGAUGUUUUAACUAUUGUUGUUGUUGCAGGAUGCUGUUAUGAAAUAUAUGUCAAGGCUUCAACGAGAGAAGAGGCUCGCAAGCAGUAG